UGGCCGCAAAGAGACCGGUACGUGAAGAAUUACACCCACAGUGGUCUGGGAAGAAUACAAAAUAUGAACAGAUUUCCCCUGUGAAAAACAAUUUAUAUGAUCUCUCUGAGGAGGAAAUGGGAGCCUUUUUCCAAUCGAUGUGAUGAUGCUCAAUGUGGUGUGACUUUCAUUCAAUGUGGUGUUUAUAGGAAUAACAUUUAUAAAUUUCAUUACGGACAUAUAUGCAAACAGACUGACACGGCAUUCUACCUCCUGUUUGGUUUAACGGAUGAUGGUUGGCAACAUGGGUGAAUAAAGAAUCAACAUCAUCAAAGGAGACAUCACAGCGUCUACAUAAAAAUGCUACCCAAUGUCUUCCUGGUAAGCCUGCGACAUCUGUAUUGGCUAUCACACCCAUUCCUGGUAGUAGGUGAACUUGAGACAGUUCAUCAGAUGAGAAUACACCAAGAACAGAUCGUUGUAAGUCAACGUCUGAAACAAUGGCACACUUGAGCUGGAACAUAAUGCGGAACUUCGAAAAUGUUUGACCAGUUUCCCAUAGAGGCUGCACUUAACCUUCGAAGAAGUGGCUUUUGUUCUCCAUCGACAAUAGAUUCACCACAAAUAUUAGAAUACAGAACCUGAAUCCACAGAUACUUUGAAAAGAUAUCCACGACGACUAAUAGGUAUCGAAACUGACCGUUUUCACUUGCAAUGUUUGACAUAUCAGCGAGGUCCAUGUCCCACUGAUCAUCAAUUCCAGAUACAAUUACACGUGC